UGGGGGAUAUUGCACAAUGGGCGAAAGCCUGAUGCAGCGACGCCGCGUGGGGGAUGAAGGCUUUCGGGUUGUAAACCUCUUUCGCUAUCGAACAAGGCCCGCUUAGGGUGGGUUGAGGGUAGGUGGAGAAGAAGCGCCGGCUAACUACGUGCCAGCAGCCGCGGUAAUACGUAGGGCGCGAGCGUUGUCCGGAAUUAUUGGGCGUAAAGGGCUUGUAGGGGCUUGUUGCGCCUGCUGUGAAAACGCGGGGCUUAACUUCGCGCGUGCAGUGGGUACGGGCAGGCUUGAGUGUGGUAGGGGUGACUGGAAUUCCAGGUGUAGCGGUGGAAUGCGCAGAUAUCUGGAGGAACACCGAUGGCGAAGGCAGGUCACUGGGCCAUUACUGACGCUGAGGAGCGAAAGCAUGGGUAGCGAACAGG
rnacentral:rRNA from 1 species